UCCGAGUUGUCCCCGGCAGUCCUCUUAGAGUCCCCGGCAUUACCCGCUGGCAACUAAGAGCAGGGGUUGCGCUCGUUGCGGCACUUAAGCCAACACCUCACGGUACGAGCUGACGACAGCCAUGCAGCACCUGUGCUAGCCCCCGAAGGACACGGGCUUUCACCCGCUUUAACUAGCAUGUCAAGCCUAGGUAAGGUUCUUCGCGUUGCAUCGAAUUAAGCCACAUGCUCCGCCGCUUGUGCGGGCCCCCGUCAAUUCCUUUGAGUUUCGGUCUUGCGACCGUACUCCCCAGGCGGAGUGUUUCACGCGUUAGCUGCGCCACUAAGGGUUUCAUAUACCCCCAACGGCUAGUUCUCAUCGUUUAGGGCGUGGACUAC
rnacentral:misc_RNA from 1 species